GAUAGACGGAUGGAUAGAUGGAUAGAAAGAUAGGUAGAUGAGUAGAUAGAUAGAUAAAGAGAUGUAUAUAUGAAUAGACAGAUGGAUAGAUGGAUAGAUGGCUGGAUAGAUUGAUGGGUGGAUGAAUAGAUAGAUGGCUACAUGGGUAGGUGGAUGAAUAGAUAGAUGGCUACAUGGGUAGGUGGAUGAAUAGAUAGAUGGCCACAUGGGUAGAUAGAUGGAUAGAUAGAACUGUUGCAUCAACAGUAGAGAUAAAAUUAAAACAUAAAAAAAUUAAUCCAAAACAAGGCAGAAAAUGAGGAAAAUAGAAAUCAAGUAGAAAACAUGGACAUCUUGCAAGGUGGUAGAUUUAAAUCUAACUGUAUCAAUAAUUGCAUUAAAUGGAAAUAGUCUAAACAGGGUUUUCUGUUAGGAGGAAUUAUUUAAGGGAGAAAGCUGAAUCAAAUUAAUUUGUAGCAUCACAAUACUCUCAAAAAAGGUAAUAUAGUUUCCUGAGACUGAGUAUAUUAGAUAUAAGUAAUAAAUGUGAAUGUGUCUAGGUUUAUGUACUAAUGUUUAUUAUAAAUUGGACAAUUUCUCAAGGGAUAAACAACACAAAUUAAUCUUGUAGUUUCUGCUGUCUUGAAGUAGAAUGAGUUGAACAAUAACUCAUUGAUAUUUAGAAAAUGCUAGACAUAUCUUGCUGUGCUUUUUUCUAUUGCUGAAAACAAUUGGGAUUUAAACAACACUUUAUAUUUUUUUUAAGUGCAGACAAAAAAGAUUGUACUUCUGACAAGAAGGCUCCCUGGAGUCAGUGCCUCGAAUGGAGGAAAUGAGUCUCAUUAAAGCUGGGAUACCUUCCCGCCUUCUCUCUGGUGGCCGUGUGGGUCUGUGAUCCUUGGAGGCUAGCACUUAAACUCUUCCUUUUCCUCCUGAGGACUCUCAGUAUACUCUUGUUCUCUGAGGACAGUGUCGCCCGGGUGAUGUCCUGGUGUGCUGCAUGGAUAUCCUGCGCGGGAACCCAGGAGACACACUGGUGGGAGCAGUGAUUGCAUUUGGCCAAGGCUCAUUCACCAGGAGAGUGAGCCAGUGGCCAUGUGCGGCAGGACCCAGGUGUGCAGCAGGACCCGGGCAGCUCUAGAAGUCCACAGGAGGAGCUACACGGGAGACGUCGUCCUUCCCAACACUGACACGGGACGCUAGUGCGCUCUUCCAACAGAGCUGCUUAGGAACAGAGGACUUAGAGGAGAAGGCAUGGGUGGGAGAGAGGGGCUGGGUAGUGAGCGAGGGAGAGGUGGGCAGAGGCCUGCGGUGGAGCCCACAGCUGGAGGCAGACAGCUCACUGGGGAGGAGAUGGGGAGAACAGAGGAGACUGUGACCACAACAAGAGAGUGUGCGUGAAGAGAAUCCAGAGUUCCUCCCCCUGUGCUGUGGGCAGAGAAGCACUGGGCUUGGCCAGCAGCAGAGCGGAGGCCGCCACCCUCUACCCACCAUCAAGGACCCGGGCAUCAAAGGCGGGAGCCAUGACCCUCAUCAGCACAGGCCUGUCUUUUUCCCUUCUGGAGUGUGAUGCUGUCCCGAUUUCAUGCACAGCUGUCCGGCCGCGGAGAGAAACGCAGGGUGCACGGCUUUCCUGUGCCCACUCUGGAAAGCUUCUCAUGUGCGCUGAGUUGGCCACAAGAUAGAUGAGUUAUUGUCUGAGGGGUGCUUGUACCCACUAGGGCCCUUUCAGAGUUGAGAGAGGCAGCAUCUUGCAGAGAGGAAUGUUCUAGAAACUUCCCUGUGAGCACCAGCUCCGCAGGCUCCUUCUGUGUGGUGAAGAUGUCUGUGACAAAAACACUCCCAAAGCCUAAGCAAGGGUGUGAGCGCCCUAGAGAGACCGUUUGCCCCACCCCGGAAAUGUUCAUUCCUGCCAUGGAACCUUCCUGUUCAUUCCACAGAGGCUGAGCCGGCUUGUGGGGCUUGGCAAGGACUAGGCGGGGGGCAUCGAACCCUAAGGAGCUGAGCCACCGCUGGGGUCGGGGUCCAGUCCUGGGGAACGCGGGUCCCUGGAGCACAGCAGGGCCUGACCGCCUCCGCGCCGCCCUCCCCGCAUUUCCUCUCCUCCUCCCCAAGCCCAUGGCUCAGAACACCGAGACCUGCCUCGCCAAGAAACGCCCAUUUAUUUCCUUCCUAUUUAUUUAUUUUGCAAAAGCCGCCUUUUGAAAGCCGGAGUGCAGUGCGGACUGGCUGAGGCCGGGGCCCAGGCGCGCGCCUCCUUCCUGCAGGCGGCCCGGGGCAUCGAUCGCGCGGGGCGUAAUGAACCCUAAUAACAGCUCUAUCACCGCCCGCCCGCCAAUUGGCCCGGGUGCCCUCCAAAUUAGCCACAAAGAAGCCAGUCUGUCAAUAUUAAUUCCGCCGCGGAGAUUACUUGUUGUGGGAGAACAAAGGUGUUCUGGCUUGAGCUGAACAACUUAACUCCUUGUCUCAUAAAAUUUAAGCUGCUAUUGAUCGCCUCCUUGCAUUGUGUGAGGAUUAAACACGUGCGCGUGCACAUCCAGGCACACGCGCGCACACACUCGGGGCGCCCGGCCCCGCUCAGGCAGCCGCCCCACCUCCUCGCCUACCCGGAAUCAUUCAGCAACGUGGAGCAAAUUAAAUCAAUGAAUUCAUCCUAGCAGAUGGCCACUUUAACACUCAGUUAGCCCUUUAGAUAAUUGAGCGUUGACUCCGGAAUCAUAAAAUGGAUGGCUCGUUUGUACAUUUUACUGAAAUAGAUCACCG
rnacentral:lncRNA from 10 species